UCUGGAAGAUCUUUUACCAGAAACUUGGGGUUUCGUGGGUGAGCUCGUUGCUGGAGAGCCACGACCGAACGCAUUGUAUAUGACUGAGUUGUAAGGCAUCUGCUUACUGUACAGAGGAGAGCGACUGAGAAUGGCGCUGUAAGAAAGGUUAAUACCCAACUUUACAGACCAAUCACUGUUCCCAGCCUUAGCUUCAACAUUAUCCAACGCUGCCUGAAUCAUUUCCUCAUCCUCUCGAGUCACAUUCCUGAAUUCAGUAUCAUUCCACUCGUGAUUGACUCCAAGCUCAUCGGCAACUAUCUUUGCUUCAGCCUCUAUCCUGGGAUACUCUGCAAAUAUCAUAUGUCUUAAUGAUCAAAAGACUCAAGCAUAUACAUAAUAUAUAUAGCAAAAUCCAGAAUACGUCGUAAGACUAAUAAAAAUUGGAUGUUGUCGUUUUGCGGUUACCUGGAUGGCAUAGUAACAUAAUGCGAAUCCCUCCUAGAGGACGGAGUUGCUGUUCCACUUCUGCAGCAUGCUCAAGACAAAAUACGUGCAACCGAGAGGAAUCAUCAUCAGAUCUUGGAACAAAGGGGAAAGCUAUUUCCAGAUUUGAUGUACUGCCACCAUUACUUAACCUAUCAUGUUCAGCAGCAUUUGAUCCCUCAACAACCCCUUUCCCUUUCCCACAUGAAAGUCUUUGACUGCUAUUAUCAAAAGCUUGACCAUCUGUAGCCUCCUCAAUACCAUUGUGGUCAUACUUUCUCUCUUCCGAGAUAAUAGUAUCUAAGCCUUUGUGAUCUUCUUCCUCGGAAUCAGAAGAAUCUCCAUACGCUGAAGCUAACAACCCAAGAGCACCAUCUUCUUUUUGCGCUUUUGUUAAAGAAGUUGUUGAAGUUCUUUCAUCCGUAGUUUGAACAGGAACAUUGUAGAAGUCAUCUACAUCAUGCUUUCCUGUGCUUUCUGCGUAAUGAUACAAAGUUAUCAAACAAAAAAGUCUUUAGAUUUAACACUUUAAAGCCAUGAACAGGAUGAGCGACUAGUAACUUACCUGAAUGAGGCUUCACUGCAGAAAAUCUUGAAUCCUGACCAAGAUUUGCAGAUCCUGAAGUAGCUGUCCAAUCAUUGAAGAAGCUACAAUCUGCAGACAUGAGAUAUCUAGCUGCUGCUUCUUUAGGUUGAACAAUAGCUACACAAUCAAAGCAUAAGAUUCCACAUGUGACACAAGAGAAAAGCCUCUGAUCCGAAAGCCCAACUGCUCUGUCAUUCUUCCUUUCAGCAUCUGUCAAAGUUCCUUGAGUUUCGUUCUCUCUGCUUGCCAGGUAAUUUCUAUUCCUUUCACACAAAGAUGUAAACUUUUCUUUCACUGAGACCACAUCCUUGAAACCGUUACUGAGUCCGGCCAUAAUACUAUCAGAACUGAAGUCCUCGGAUUUUAAUUGGAUUGGCCUUUCCUGGUUAGUUCUCAAAUGGGAUCCAACUCUGAGGUCAGAACAAACCGAUACAUCUGAGGAACUCUGCGGAAGAAGAGCGACAGGAGAUCUUUUUCCAAGAGAACGGAGCAAUUCAUUGUUAUGGAUAAUGUUUUGCACAAAUAGCUCUUUAGUCAAUUUUUCUCCUUCACUUCUUUUCUUAUCUUUCAAUCUAGAACUCCGUGGUUUGGUGUGGAUGCUUGUUGGCACUCUGCAAUAAGUGAAUCACACCUUACAAGCAGUCUUAAGAUUCAAGUUAGAGAGUUUGUGGAAAUCUUUGAAAGAAAUUACCUUGAACACAAAGCCAAUGCAAAGUCAUAAAGUAACUGGAGAUGAGAAACCAUUGGAGGGUAAUUUAUAGCAGCUCGCCGGAUGGCAGCAUCUUUUGCAAUUCUCAACCACUCGGGAGUUGCAAUGUUAGAUGCCUCUCCACAAUUGAAUCCUAGAAUACCCCAAGAUUAUGUUUGAGAUAAUAUAAGUUAGUUUCAACACGCUAAGCCUUGGGUGAUUAACUUGAAGAUACUAAAUAAAGGUCGCUUGCUCACCGUGACUAAACCCCGAAUGAUAUGCUCUUGGAAAAGUGACGACAAACUCACCAGGAUUUUGCACUAACCUGAUACAAGCAAACCACUUGCAUGAAAAACCAACAGAAACAAUUGUGCCUCUGGAUGUUUCCAGUCAAUUGAAUAGAAUGGAUGCAACUAACAGAUUCUUUUCUAGUUGAAGAAGUAAAUGGAAGACAACAAGAUCAUGAGAUAAACAGAGCAAACAUAAGAAACCACUACCUGCAACAUGGUAUUCCGGCUUUAACAAAUACUUCAGGAGACAUCACAGUUGUCUUGUCACCAAGAGUUGAAAAUGUCACUGGUAAGACAACAACAAAAGAGGCAAAACCAUUUAGUUUACUUGCAUACAGCUAUACAAGGAUAGAGACACAAACAUAACAAUCAGAACAAUGAAGUGAAGCUAAGCUCCCAGACUCAGAACCUUCAUAACUUAACCUUCGAAAGAAACUUGUUAUCAAAACAAGACUCUGGCUUCAAUCAAAAACCAACCAAGCACAAGCCUUUACCGAAAUUUCUUGGCCAAGUGACUAUGUAACAGAGUAUCCCAUAGAAGUAAGCAAUUGGUGGAAAAGAAAACUAACCAAGAGGAUUAAGCUCUCCUCCAUAGCCAUGAACCCUAACCACCUCCUCAAAAGCCACAGCAGCAUCCUUUGGAACGCCGUACCAAGUCUUACUAGCACCCAUAUGCAAGUAAUUGAGACUAUGAAGGUCAUGGUCUUCCACAUGCCAAGCAAACCAACUAAACAUCAUAGCAAUAUACACCAUUGGAGAUGUAACUCCAGGGAUCUCCUCUUUCAUGAACUUAAGCAACGAUCCUUCAGCUCUGGCCAUUGCCCUCAUGUUCCAAGCUGUCUCACCAACUGUUCCUCCAUCACCACCAGACUCUCUUCUCCUUGCAGCCGCCAGGCUCAGAGGGAUAAAAGCCGAGCCAGGCAUGUCGUUUGCGUACUCAACAGAGAAGGGUUUGUCCACUGUGGCUCUCCAGUAAAGGGUUUCGAUUUCUAGGGCAGAAAGUUGACUCUUUUUGCCGCAUUUCCUUAGAUAAUUCUUCUCAAAGUUCUUAGCUUUAAACUCAAACUCACCGAAACUGUAAUGCUCUCCGCUCUGCCACACUGGUCUCUGUACGGGUCGCUGCUUCCUAGGGCAAAACCCGAUCUGCUGUUGACGCGUGGCGAAUGUGGGGGCACCGUCGUAAUCGAAAGCAUCGCCGCCGUCACGAACCCUCGCCGUCGCUAGCGACGCCAGAGAACGGUUGAGGUUAGAAAUCGUGGUUUUCUUCGAAGGAGGAGGCACUGGAGGCACAAUUUUGCAGAUUCCGUAUCUUGAAGCUUCCUCUUCGAUUUUGAAAAUGUAAGCGAUCGGAUCUUGGAACUCUGCUAAAGUAGGUCGGAACUCUGGUGCAACCGGCAACGAUUUCAGCCAUGGAAACACGUCUGGGCUCUGCUCCGAAACCACCAUGUCUCUCUAUUUCGAACGAACAGAGGAAAAACAAAACCUUUCUCUUGAAAUUAGUUCACUUUCAGGGUUUCAGAAUCUGGGUACUGAAAAACGCCAUUACAGAGGAAAAGUUAAAACAGAACUAAAAUGGAGAAGAAGAAACAAAAGGAAAGCAGAGUUAAGAGAUUCGACAAAUCUCCACCAUCUCUCUUCUCCAAUAGGUUUUUAAUUUCUUAAAGGGGAUAACUAAACCUACUUUUUUCUCGAGAGAAACGACGGGCUUGAUCUCGUUUCUUUUGGAAAAUUGUUUUUUUUUUCAGGGGUUGGGUUUGGGGCAGAGCAAGAGAUUGUGAUUUCUCGUUUCUCUGUUUUGUUUUUUGCUUUUUAAAUUAUUCUCAUUUUGCAUAAAAGAAGCAACUAGCAAGUAGUGGUAAAUUGUAAGGGCAAAGAGAUUUUGAAAUCUACGAUGAAAGGAUGGUUAAUGCGGUUUUUUUAUUAUGUUAUACUAAAUAAAAUACUAGUAUUUACUAUUUUGCCAUUUCAUGAGUUCGACAACACACAUUUGUUGUUGUCCCGCACCUUUUGCGCAUUCAAAAACUACUCCUUCCUCUGUUUAUCAUUUUCAAUAUUUUUAAUAAAUUUUUAUUAUUGAAUAAAAGGGUAACGUAAUUUUCGUCCAUUUUCUUAUUUAUUUUAAAUUUUAUCACAUUUUGAUUUUUUCUUAUGGUUUCUAUAUUAUACAUUUUUGAGGAAAUUUUUUAAAAAGGUUUUUGUCAUUAUUCUAGUUCCUAACAUAGCGUCCCGUCCUAUUUAUGGGCUAGUUUUUUUUUGUCAUCAGUCAGUCCCUCUUCUGAUUUUUAUGGAUUGUUUCCAAUACUUAUAAAAAUUCACUUUUUAUGUAAAUAUUGUUGAAAGUUAUGAUAUACCCCGAUACUAAAUUUGUCAAAUAGUAAGUAGCAUAUAUAAGUUUCACAAAAGUAAAUUUAUCCCAAAAUAUCUGUCAAUACUGAACUUCAUUCAGCUAAUGUCGUUAACAAUAGGUUGAGUCUUUAUCGAAGGUCAAAUGAAGUCCACAAAUUAAAACCAAAAAAAAAUGAAACCCACGGCUAGCAUUUAGACAUUCAACCAUCCAGAUUGUGUCACGUCGAAAACUAUAUAUAUCUCAAGUAAUAAAUAAUUAAAAGUCGUUGAAAGUCGUUCGACAAAAAAAAAAUAAUAAUUAAAACUCGUUAUUUACUCAAGGAAAAUGUUAAAAUAAAUAUAAAUUUGAAUCUCUUGGGGUUGAAACAUUAUCCAAACACACAGAGAGACUGAUACUCCAAAAGUAGCUCUUGCUUUCUUCUAAAUCUUUUAUCUUUCCCUAUGACCAUAUCUCACUUCGUUGAUAUCGUCAUGCAAUUGUUGACAACUAAAACAAGCCGGUCAACACAGAAGGCCUAAAAUUAAGAAACUAACAAUUUUAAUUUGUGCAGCAUAUAACGCCUCUUAAGUCUUAACAACAUUGAUUCAACAAAAGGGUUUCUUUUUUCAGUCCUCUGUCUUCGUAAACACAUCUUCCUUAGCAGAAUUUGAGAUAAUGUCUUAAUCAUAAAAGCUUCUCCUUUACUUAUCAAAAGCCAAGAAGAAAGAAAGUAACAUGAACAUAAUAGUCUCCUACAUAAGGAUUUUUUUACAGAUUAAACUGUAAAAAUAAUAACAGAGUAGUGAAAUGUCUGCAAGAACCAGGGACCCUCAAAACCCUAAAUCCAAUUUCUCUUCUUAUAGACCAAUGGAUCAUAAUCUCUUCAAGAUAGAUUCCAUGUUAGAACCUAAAUCACCUUUUCUUUGUCUUCUUUACUGAAUGACCGGUCUUCCUUUUAUGCCGGCUAAAAUCUGAGACAAACCGAAAAGUCUGACCGCAACUUGGUUCAGCACAAACAUAAGGCCUUGCACCUGUGUGAACCCUGAUGUGCUCGGUUCUAGACCAAGCCCACUUGAACGUCAUCUUGCAGCCCUUCCAUGGACAUUUCAGAGGACGGUCAUCUGAGUGAACACGCCGGUGUUGAACCAAAUACUUGUGUGAGAAGAAGUUUUUACCACAACCUUUAACAGGGCAUAUGUUUCUUUUAUGCAAAGCCAACUGUUUUUCCGAAGUGAAACUCAUCGUGCAACCCUCCAUGUCACAUUGGUACGGUGCGCAUUCCUCUUGCUCAUUCUCUUCUUCAUCUUCCUCUAACUCUUCCUCACUUGCAACUCUGGAAAAAGAAUUGCUGUUUCUUUUCUUACCAGUUUUCUUUGGUUUUGUUUCAGAAGACCCUAUUGAGGGAUUUAGAUUUCUCACUCUCAGCCGUGUGCUCGGUCCCUCCAUGUAUAUAUCCACUUCUUGAUUCUUCUUUCUGGGUCCAGAUUGUCGCAAAGCACGUCUUUUUGUGUCUCUCAGACUCUGAACUAUCUCGGUUUUCACUUUUCGUUUAGCUGUGGACCUGGUUUGCCUUUUCCCUGCACUGCAAAACUCUUGUUCCUCCAGUGAAUUAUCUGCUGAAUCGUACGCACCACCCAUUCGACUAAUUUGCGCAUUACUUGUAGAUACUCUUCCCCUUUGUUGAUAUAGGCCAUUUUCUUCUGAAUCAUAUGAAACCGGAUUCCUAAAGAAUUUAGUCCGUUUGCUCCUUGGAAGCCCUCUAGGAUGCCUAUAGAUAUCAUCAUCAUCAUGAUCAUACAUUGACUGGUUCUCUCUAUAUAGCUGAGAGCCAUUCUCCAUUGAGCUCUCUGAAGCAGCACAUUCCCUUACAGCAUAUUCUUCUCCAAGUGAACGGUCUGAAACCUCAUCAUCUGACUCAAAAUCUUUAUCACCUUGGUGUCUCACAAAUUCCUGCUGCUCAUCAGACAUUUGAUUUGAUGAAUCACCAGAAACCGAAUUCCCUGUCUCAAAAUAAGACUCUUCCUCAUUCCCAGAAGCCCUCCAUUGCUGCUUAUAGGAAUGAUCCUCUGAUGUGUCAUCAGAAACAACAUCUUCCCUCUUAAAAGAGGUAAGCUUCUUGCGUGGCAAAGCCUUUGCUCUCAUCUUUCUCUUCCUACAAUACUUUCUUCCAAACAUUGUGGUUGCAUCUCUAGAAGCAUUACAAGGAGACAAUCUCUUUCCAAUGACAUCAUCUUCCAGAACACCUCGCAGAUGACAACUUCUUUCAGAUUCAUCCCCCUCUAAGUCCUGCUGCAGCAAAAAGGGAUGCACCUGAAGAAGAACAAAAUAUCAGCGUUAAAAACUGAAACAAACCAAGCAGAAACAGAAGUGAACUAAUGUCCAAAUUAGUAUAUGUUUUCAAGUUAAUAUUACCUGAUGCGACAUCCAAACCUUCCCACACCAUUUUCCAACAACAUAUUUCCUCUGUCUGGAAGAUCUUUUACCAGAAACUUGGGGUUUCGUGGGUGAGCUCGUUGCUGGAGAGCCACGACCGAACGCAUUGUAUAUGACUGAGUUGUAAGGCAUCUGCUUACUGUACAGAGGAGAGCGACUGAGAAUGGCGCUGUAAGAAAGGUUAAUACCCAAUUUUACAGACCAAUCACUGUUCCCAGCCUUAGCUUCAACAUUAUCCAACGCUGCCUGAAUCGUUUCCUCAUCCACUCGAGACACAUUCCUGAAUUCAGUAUCAUUCCACUCGUGAUUGACUCCAAGCUCUUCAGA
rnacentral:lncRNA from 1 species